UCAUCUUCGGGGGUAGAGCACUGUUUCGGCUAGGGGGUCAUCCCGACUUACCAACCCGAUGCAAACUGCGAAUACCGAAGAAUGUUAUCACGGGAGACACACGGCGGGUGCUAACGUCCGUCGUGAAGAGGGAAACAACCCAGACCGCCAGCUAAGGUCCCAAAGUCAUGGUUAAGUGGGAAACGAUGUGGGAAGGCACAGACAGCCAGGAUGUUGGCUUAGAAGCAGCCAUCAUUUAAAGAAAGCGUAAUAGCUCACUGGUCGAGUCGGCCUGCGCGGAAGAUGUAACGGGGCUAAACCAUGCACCGAAGCUGCGGCAGCGACACUAUGUGUUGUUGGGUAGGGGAGCGUUCUGUAAGCCGUUGAAGGUG
rnacentral:rRNA from 1 species